ACGCACGCUGGCGGCGUGCUUAACACCUGCAAGUCGAACGGUGAAGCGCCUUCCUUUUUGGUGGGUGUGGAUGAGUGGCGAACGGGUGAGUAACACGUGAGUAACCUGCCCCCUUCUUCUGGAUAACCGCAUGAAAGUGUGGCUAAUACGGGAUAUUCUGGGUCUGUCGCAUGAUGGGUCUGGGAAAGAUAUUGUUUCGGUGGGGGAUGGGCUCGCGGCCUAUCAGCUUGUUGGUGGGGUGAUGGCCUACCAAGGCGGUGACGGGUAGCCGGCCUGAGAGGGUGGACGGUCACACUGGGACUGAGACACGGCCCAGACUCCUACGGGAGGCAGCAGUGGGGAAUAUUGCACAAUGGGCGCAAGCCUGAUGCAGCGACGCCGCGUGAGGGAUGGAGGCCUUCGGGUUGUGAACCUCUUUCGCCAGUGAAGCAGGCCUGCCUCGUUUGUGGGUGGGUUGACGGUAGCUGGAUAAGAAGCGCCGGCUAACUACGUG
rnacentral:rRNA from 1 species